ensembl:lncRNA
UGUGUGCGUGCGCCUGUGUGUGGCUGUGUCUGUAUGUGUGUGUCUGAGCGUGUGGUGAAUCAUUUCAAUGGUUCGAGGAAAAGAGUUUUCAAUGCAUGAACAAGGCUGAACGGCACAGAGUCUGAAGUUCUCUUCUUCGCAGAAGGCAACGCACAAGGCGCUGUCGUCCACAGCGUGUGUGACCGGGGGAUGUCAUCCCCCCUGUGUGAUAGCAUGGGGUGGGUUGGUCUCACACACCUGUUCGUUUUGGCCAUCACCCCUGCUCUGACCGAGGGAUGCUGCCGUGAUAAACAGCCUCAGCGGACCUCAGUGGCGCGUUACUGGACCUCCAGCUCCAGGUGUUGGAGGGGUCCAGGCGGGCCUGCUCUGAGCUGGGGCCCAAACAGGUGACCCUGACCUUGGGCGCGGGAGGGGGAUUGACUGCCCUCCUUCCACCUGUGGCGACCCAGACCUCAACAACUCGCAGGUCACAUGGUACAAGGUGAUAUUAAAACCUACUCAUGUCACUACCACUACUAUCAUCCCAUUUAUCGGUACUGAUCAUUAUAUUAAGAAAAACAGUGUAGUAAUGU